rnacentral:rRNA from 1 species
AACGGACGCUGGCGGCAUGCUUAACACAUGCAAGUCGAACGAUGAAAAGCGGGAGCUUGCUCCCUGCUGGAUUAGUGGCGAACGGGUGAGUAACACGUGAGCAAUCUGCCCCUGACUCUGGGAUAAGCGUUGGAAACGACCGCUAAUACCGCAUACGCCCUUCGGGGGAAAGGUCCGCCGGAAAAAGAGGGGCCCGCGUCUGAUUAGCUUGUUGGUAGGGUAAUGGCCUACCAAGGCGACGAUCAGUAGCUGGUCUGAGAGGAUGGACAGCCACAUUGGAACUGAGACACGGUCCAGACUCCUACGGGAGGCAGCAGUGGGGAAUAUUGCACAAUGGGGGAAACCCUGAUGCAGCCAUGCCGCGUGUGUGAAGAAGGCCUUCGGGUUGUAAAGCACUUUCAGCGAGGAGGAAGAGUUAGUAGUUAAUACCUGCUAGCUUUGACGUUACUCGCAGAAGAAGCACCGGCUAACUCCGUG